UACGUAGGGGGCUAGCGUUGUCCGGAAUCAUUGGGCGUAAAGAGCGCGUAGGCGGCCAGAUAAGUCCGGUGUGAAAGUCACAGGCUCAACCUGUGAAUGCCGCUGGAAACUGUCUGGCUAGAGUCCGGAAGGGGCGAGUGGAAUUCCUGGUGUAGCGGUGAAAUGCGCAGAUAUCAGGAGGAACACCAAUGGCGAAGGCAGCUCGCUGGGACGGUACUGACGCUGAGGCGCGAAAGCCAGGGGAGCAAACGGG
rnacentral:rRNA from 1 species